GCAGCGUUCCGGCCUGUCGCUGGCCUGCUUCCGCCCCUGUCGGCGGUAGCGGCGAGAGGAAAGUCCGGGCAGCACAGGACGCUCCACUCCUGAAAGUAGAAGCUAUUGGCAACAGUAGGGUAAGGCAGAAGAAAACAACCGCCGUGCCGUCUUGCCUGCCUUGACCCAGUGUCACCGCAGGCGUAGUAGGCCGGUAAGGGUGAGAAGGUGGUGUAAGAGACCACCAGCCGCAGGGCGAUCUGCGGGCUGUGCCUCCUGGAGGCUGCAAGUUCAUGUAAACCAUCGGCUGAGGGUUGUCCGCCCGAGUCGCCAGACACGAUGGAGGGUAGAACGCUUGAGCCGCGGCGCAAGCCACGGAGUAGAUAAAUGACAGGCACCCGACGCAUGGCAACAUACGCCCGGGAACAGAACCCGGCUUACAGGAGCACUGCUUUC
rnacentral:RNase_P_RNA from 1 species